rnacentral:rRNA from 1 species
UACGAAGGGGGGCUAGCGUUGCUCGGAAUCACUGGGCGUAAAGGGUGCGUAGGCGGGUCUUUAAGUCAGGGGUGAAAUCCUGGAGCUCAACUCCAGAACUGCCUUUGAUACUGAGGAUCUUGAGUUCGGGAGAGGUGAGUGGAACUGCGAGUGUAGAGGUGAAAUUCGUAGAUAUUCGCAAGAACACCAGUGGCGAAGGCGGCUCACUGGCCCGAUACUGACGCUGAUGCACGAAAGCGUGGGGAGCAACAGG